rnacentral:rRNA from 1 species
AUGUCCCGGAGCGACGGGCACCCGCUGAGCGCCAUGGCCAGCUCCAGCUCGUCCCGCAGCAUCUGCAGCACCUUCCGUACCCCCGCCUCGCCGUCCACCGCCAGCGAGUACAGCACCGGCCUCCCGAUCUGCCACACCAGACCCACACAUCGAGCGUCCAUCAGCAUCGCCGCCCAAGAAAGAAACACGCAGAUCGAUUGUGUUUGA